GAUGAACGCUGGCGGCGUGCUUAACACAUGCAAGUCGAACGAAGUGAUAGGAGCUUGCUCCUAGAUCUUAGUGGCGGACGGGUGAGUAACGCGUGGGUAACCUGCCCUAUGCAGGGGGAUAACGUUUGGAAACGAACGCUAAUACCGCAUAGACUAUGGAUCAUCGCAUGAUGAUUAUAGUAAAGAUUUUAUCGGCAUAGGAUGGACCUGCGUUGGAUUAGCUAGUUGGUGAGAUAACAGCCCACCAAGGCGACGAUCCAUAGCCGGCCUGAGAGGGUGAACGGCCACAUUGGGACUGAGACACGGCCCAAACUCCUACGGGAGGCAGCAGUGGGGAAUAUUGCACAAUGGGCGAAAGCCUGAUGCAGCGACGCCGCGUGAAGGAAGAAGGUCUUCGGAUUGUAAACUUCUAUCAGCAGGGAAGAAUAAAUGACGGUACCUGACUAAGAAGCUCCGGCUAACUACGUGCCAGCCGCCGCUGUAAUAC
rnacentral:rRNA from 1 species